rnacentral:rRNA from 1 species
CUUGCGCAAUGGUCGAAAGCCUGACGCAGCCAUGCCGCGUGAAUGAUGAAGGGCUUAGGAUUGUAAAAUUCUUUCACCGGGGACGAUAAUGACGGUACCCGGAGCAGAAGCCCCUGCGAACUUCGUGCCAGCAGCCGCGGUAAUACGAAGGGGGCUAGCGUUGCUCGGAAUUACUGGGCGUAAAGGGCGCGUAGGCGGAUCGUUAAGUCAGGGGUGAAAUCCCGGGGCUCAACCUCGGAACUGCCCUUGAUACUGGCGAUCUUGAGUAUGAGAGAGGUAUGUGGAACUCCGAGCGUAGAGGUGAAAGUCGUAGAUAUUCGGAAGAACACCAGUGGUGAAGGCGACAUACUGGCUCAUUACUGACGCUGAGGCGCGAAAGCGUGGGGAGCAAACA